AGCGAACGCUGGCGGCAGGCCUAACACAUGCAAGUCGAACGAACCUUUCGGGGUUAGUGGCGGACGGGUGAGUAACACGUGGGAACGUGCCUUUAGGUUCGGAAUAACUCAGGGAAACUUGUGCUAAUACCGAAUGUGCCCUUCGGGGGAAAGAUUAAUCGCCUUUAGAGCGGCCCGCGUCUGAUUAGCUAGUUGGUUGAGGUAAUGGCUCACCAAGGCGACGAUCAGUAGCUGGUCUGAGAGGAUGAUCAGCCACAUUGGGACUGAGACACGGCCCAAACUCCUACGGGAGGCAGCAGGGGGGAAUCUUGCGCAAUGGGCGAAAGCCUGACGCAGCCAUGCCGGGUGAAUGAUGAAGGUCUUAGGAUUGUAAAAUUCUUUCACCGGGGACAAUAAUGACGGUACCCGGAGAAGAAGCCCCGGCUAACUUCGU
rnacentral:rRNA from 1 species